rnacentral:rRNA from 1 species
UGGGCGAAAGCCUGACCGAGCGACGCCGCGUGUGGGAUGAAGGCCUCCGGGUUGUAAACCGCUGUCGUUGGGGAGGAAGUGCAGGGGGGUUCUCCCCUCUGUUUGACCUAUCCAAGGAGGAAGUACGGGCUAAGUUCGUGCCAGCAGCCGCGGUAAGACGAACCGUACGAACGUUAUUCGGAAUUACUGGGCUUAAAGGGUGCGUAGGCGGCGCGGUAAGUUGGAUGUGAAAGCCCUCAGCUCAACUGAGGAACUGCAUUCAAAACUACCGUGCUCGAGGGAGACAGAGGUAAGCGGAACUCAAGGUGGAGCGGUGAAAUGCGUUGAUAUCUUGAGGAACACCGGUGGCGAAGGCGGCUUACUGGGUCUUUUCUGACGCUGAGGCACGAAAGCUAAGGUAGCAAACGGGAUUAGAUACCCCGGUAGUCUUAGCUGUAAACGAUGAGCACUUGUUUGAAGGGUCCUCCAUAGCCUUUCAGACGUAGCGAAAGUGUUAAGUGCUCCGCCUGGGGA